CUGACUGUGCAAAGGUAGCAUAAUCAGUUGGCUUUUAAUUAGAGUCUGGUAUGAACGAAAAUAUGGGUAGUAACUGUCUUAGCACAUUUUUUCAAACUUAUUAAACAAGUGCAAAUGCUUGUAAUUUAACAAUAGACGAGAAGACCCUAGAAACUUGGACAAGUUUUUGUUGGGGCGACAGAAUUACACUUAACUAAUCUUAUAAUACACGACGCGAUGUUGAAAGAAUAAGUUACUCUAGGGAUAACAGCAUAAUUUCAUUAGUUUGUGACCUCUAUGUUGGACUAGGUACUAUACCCUUAAGGCAAGGAUAU
rnacentral:rRNA from 1 species